rnacentral:rRNA from 1 species
GACGAACGCUGGCGGCGUGCUUAACACAUGCAAGUCGAACGGAAAGGCCCUUCGGGGUACUCGAGUGGCGAACGGGUGCGUAACACGUGGGUGAUCUGCCCUGCACUUUGGGAUAAGCCUGGGCAACUGGGUCUAAUACCGAAUAGGACCACGCGCUUCAUGGUGUGUGGUGGAAAGCUUUUGCGGUGUGGGAUGGGCUCGCGGCCUAUCAGCUUGUUGGUGGGGUAAUGGCAUACCGAGGCGACGACGGGUAGCCGGCCUGAGAGGGGGACCGGCCACACUGGGACUGAGAUACGGCCCAGACGCCUACGGGAGGCAGCAGUGGGGAAUAUGGCACAAUGAGCGCAAGCCUGAUGCGGCGACGCCGCGUGAGGGAUGACGGCCUGCGGGUUGUAAACCUCUUUCAAUAGGGACGAAGCGCAAGUGACGGUACCGAAAGAAGAAGCACCGGCCAACUACGUG